rnacentral:rRNA from 1 species
GUAGGGAGCAAGCGUUGUUCGGAAUUAUUGGGCGUAAAGAGCGCGUAGGCGGCUUGGCAAGUCUGGUGUGAAAUCUCACAGCUCAACUGUGAAACUGCAUCAGAAACUGCCAGGCUUGAGUGCGGGAGAGGAAAGUGGAAUUCCCAGUGUAGAGGUGAAAUUCGUAGAUACUGGGAGGAACACCGGUGGCGAAGGCGGCUUUCUGGACCGCAACUGACGCUGAGGCGCGAAAGCUAGGGGGGAGCAAACGGGAUUAGAUACCCCGGUAGUCCUAGCCGUAAACGAUGGGCACUAGGUGUAGGGGGUAUUGACCCCUUCUGUGCCGCAGCUAACGCAUUAAGUGCCCCCGCCUGGGAGUACGGUCGCAAGACUA